rnacentral:ncRNA from 1 species
AGUUCUGAUGCACCGAAUUUUGCAGGUGGAGAACGAGGAGACAAUGAGGCACUCAGUGCCCAUACAAAAGCGCUGUUGGAUUUAGUCCAACAGCGCUUUUUA